AUCAAACAAACUAAUACACAUAAAACAAAGAAAAUUUUAUCAUGAAGAAAGCCACUUGCCAAUGCUAUGGUUUGGGGGGGAAAAAAAGAACUAAGAUACAGCGUUCAGCUGUAAGUGUUAAAGAUCAAAUAAACCACCCUCAGUUCUAUUAUGAAUGACUCAGUGAAUAGAAACAGACAAUUACGUGGUUAAUUAAAGUAGAAAAAUAAGACAAUUUUAAAAGGCAGUGAACUACUUGUAUAUUCUAUAUGUCAUUGCAAUGUUUUUAUUCCCAGUUGAGUUGUCAAACACAGCAAUUUCUUUCUGCUGAGCCAUCAUGGGACAAGUCCAGCAUUUAUGGCGCUUGACAAUCCAAGCUUGCUAAAUGCUAACUGUGAAAUAUCAAUUUCUCCAGUGGUAAAAAGUUUCUUCUUUUAUUUGCCAACCA
rnacentral:misc_RNA from 1 species